GUGGAAGAGAAAAGGAUUCUCCUUAACACUACAAUGGAGGAAUGGACUAAGUUUGCCCAUAACCCAAAAUAGAAUACAGAAACAUAAAAGGGCAAUUGGCAAUUUUCAUUUUUUAUUGUAUUGUAACAAAUUCAAACUUGAAGAAUUACAGAAAAUACAAGAAUCCAGCAUUAUAUGAUUGAUGAUGCUUCCAUUUUCAACUUUAAUCUUUCUACUCUGCUUGUUCCAGAGGUGGAUAGCUAAACUUUCACUUCUUAUCUGCUCAAGCUUUCUGUGCAACCAUUUUGAGUGUAGCUUAUCUCCUGGCCCCCUAAACAGACUUCUAAUUCUGCUCCAAUUCACUGGAUAAAAUGCAGAUGGGGGCAACACAGUGAAAUUAAUCCCAGGCCUGCCAUAGACCCUUGAAACAACUCUGGAAACUAGAUAAGGACCAUUAUGACCCCACUUGUUUCCAUUGAAUGUGAGUGCAAAUUCUUCAAUGAACUUGAAGAGUAAAGGAUGCUUCUUAUCAAAAAUCAACACUGCAUUAUUCAAUCUGCUCCAAUUCCCAGUUUCAAGAUCAAUCGUUUGUGCUCCUAUGACAUUCCUCAGUUUACCAAAGCUCUUCAACACUAUAACAUCUGUGUCUACAUAAAUACCACCAAAUUUAUACAAUAAGGCAAGCCUAAGCAAAUUGGAGAGAUUUUGACCCAAAGAAACCUCUCCGGGAUCAACAUUCCCUUUGUUUAAUUCAUUAAACCAUGACUCUGCAUGAGUAUUCUUGAAUAUAUAAUCAAAAUUAGGCUUAAUUGCAAUUACUUUGAACCCUUUAUCCAAAAAUGGCCUUAAGAAAAGGCUCCCCUUUUUAGAAUCCAUGGAAUUGGAAACAAUAACCAAACAAGCAUUUGGGUGAAACUUGAAUAAACUCUCUAUAGCAAACAACUCUCUAUCACCAAAUGACUCCAAAGAAGAAAUCCAAGUCAUAAAGAACCGAACCUUACAUAGAGUACUCCCAAAGAAGGUCCUUAUUCUUGUCGAAAACCGCUUUGAUUUGGCUCCAUAUCGCAGAACUUUGAUCACAGCUCUGUAUUUGUGCACAUUCUUUGGCCUUAAAACCGAAGAAUAGUUAAUGGGUAUCAUUGAAAUGGGUGGUUUUGGCAAAAGGGGUAACUGUGUCUUCAAAAUGACUGGUGGAUUCUCUUCUUUUACUGCAUACAUCACUGAAGAAGAAAGCUUCUUAAAAGAUUUUCCCGUGCGAUUUUCCGGUGAAAAAUUAACAUGCUCCGGCUGGGAAUUGACGGGAAUUGGAAGGCGAAUGUGGAACACAGAGGAGCCAUUAUAGACCAAAAGGAGAAACAAAAUAAGAGCAAGAAGAGAAGUGGGCAAGCAAGAGAGCAAGGCAAAGAUGGAUCUUUUAAUGUUCUGUACAUAAUGAAUAAACAGAAGGACAAUCUUAGAAACUUGGAUGAUUAGGUACAUGGUGCUUUAUGGUUAAAAUGGGUUCUUGGAUUUUGCUUUCUGGUUCAUAGAGGAUUAAGAGGAAGCUCAGCAGAGAGACAGAGAGAAGGAGGGAGGAGAAAUUUUAAUGGAGAAGGCGGCAAAAGAUGCAAGAAGAGAAAUGGUAGUGUUUUGGACAUUGGGAUUGGGAACCAAAAACCCAUAAAUUUGUGAGCUCUUGUACUUCACAUUGUACAAGCACAAUCAUUAACAGAAUAAACAAAGACAAACAAAAGCUGUUUAGCUGGAAGCUUGGCCUGGUUCAACUUCGUAGUUGCUUCUCAUUCUGAAGGGAAAAG
rnacentral:misc_RNA from 1 species